ACGAACGCUGGCGGCGUGCUUAACCCGUGCAAGUCGAACGGAAAGGCCCUGCUUUUGUGGGGUGCUCGAGUGGCGAACGGGUGAGUAACACGUGAGUAACCUGCCCUUGACUUUGGGAUAACUUCAGGAAACUGGGGCUAAUACCGGAUAGGAGCUCCUGCUGCAUGGUGGGGGUUGGAAAGUUUCGGCGGUUGGGGAUGGACUCGCGGCUUAUCAGCUUGUUGGUGGGGUAGUGGCUUACCAAGGCUUUGACGGGUAGCCGGCCUGAGAGGGUGACCGGCCACAUUGGGACUGAGAUACGGCCCAGACUCCUACGGGAGGCAGCAGUGGGGAAUAUUGCACAAUGGGCGGAAGCCUGAUGCAGCAACGCCGCGUGCGGGAUGACGGCCUUCGGGUUGUAAACCGCUUUCGCCUGUGACGAAGCGUGAGUGACGGUAAUGGGUAAAGAAGCACCGGCUAACUACGUG
rnacentral:rRNA from 1 species